UUGUCUAAAAUAAUUUCACAUCUGACCAUAUUACCCCCCGGAUGUAAAAUGUUUUAAAGUGAUUUUUUAGUUUGAUUAUUACUGGAAAUAAACUAAGGAAGAGUAAAAAAGAAAAACAAUAACACACUCUCUCUCCGUCUCUCAUUGAACCCUAAGUCGAUCCAUUCCUCCAUUCUUUCACUCACUAUCUCUGUUCCAUUCAACCGCUCCGUUCUCAGUUUGCAUCACUCCUGACUGUUUCUCAGUUCUCACUUCUCAGUCUCACAUCUGGUCGUUCGAAACAGUUCCGUUCAGAUCCGUUUCGCAAUCAAAUCAAUUCGCGGACCUUAGAUAAACAAGUUAUUUCUGUUCAGUUCGGUUUUAGUCACCGAAGCCUUUAAUCGUAUUUUGUGAAUUUUUGCAAAAUCAAGGCUCACUGAACCCAAAUCGAAGCUCAGUGAAACAAAUCGAAACACAAACGGCGUGGAAGUUCCACUUUCUUUAACUAUAUAAAAGAGUCAUGGGAUGAAAUAGAAUCUAAGGGUAGCUGAGACUGUGUCUGAGAUAAUCUGGAUUCUGGUUGAAUAAUUGGUUCUUAUUUUCAAAUAUUGCGGAAAUUGUUAUAGUUGAAUUGAAAUUGAUCUAGCUUCUAGCUAGAGGAAUUGCUAAACAUGGGCACGCGUGAAAGGAGCUUCAUUACUUAGAUUGUGUUGGCGUUAUACUUAUAGCCUUAAGAAUUUUCAUCAUCUUAGUUUACUUCUAGCUUUGAUUUUGUGCUGUCAUCUGGUCCAAUGUCUGUUAUCUAGUGUAUCAUUCUUUAAAGUUUCAAGUGUUCAAUGUUCCUACGACAUUAACAGAGGAGGAGCUUUAUGAUUUGUGAAACCGCUGAUAAAAAUGAUCUUGAAGGCAUGUUAAAUAUGAAGAUUCAAGAUUUGGAUAUUGUAGAGGAACUUAGAAUCAAAAGAGCGGACAAACAUGGAAUUGUUAAUUAUGAAGAUUUGGAGAUUGCUAUUGCAUGCAAUCUGUGGCUUUGUCAACAUCACCUUGGUAAUCAUAGUUUUGAUAGUUGAUUUACACUUGAUGUAUGUGUUAACUGUACUCUAGGCUAUGUUAAUUACUUAAGUUGGUUAAGAUGUACUCUAGCUAGCUAAAACCAUUUUAAUUACUUAAGUUUUAGUCAUGUUUUAGUCAUUUUAAUUACUUAGCAUGAUAUCUCUCUUUUAUUCAUCAGGUUCUUUAGGAAGUGUAGUGUGAUUUUGUUAGUUUUAUGUGUGUAAUUACUUAUUGAUUAAUCAAAAGCAUGAUAUCUCUCUUUUAUUCA